rnacentral:rRNA from 1 species
CCUACGGGAGGCAGCAGUGAGGAAUAUUGGUCAAUGGACGAGAGUCUGAACCAGCCAAGUAGCGUGAAGGAUGACUGCCCUAUGGGUUGUAAACUUCUUUUAUAUGGGAAUAAAAUGUUCCACGUGUGGGAUUUUGUCUGUACCAUAUGAAUAAGGCUCGGCUAACUCCGGGCCAGCAGCCGCGGUAAUACGGAGGAUCCGAGCUUUAUCCGGAUUUAUUGGGGUUAAAGGGAGCGGUGGUGGAUUGUUAAGUCAGUUUGGAAAGUUUGGGGCUCAACCGUAAAAUUGCAGUUGAAACUGGCAGUCUUGAGUACAGUAGAGGUAGGCGGAAUGCGUGGUGUAGCGGUGAAAUGCUUAGAUAUCACGAAGAACUCCGAUUGCGAAGGCAGCUUACUGGACUGCAACUGACACUGAGGCUCGAAAGUGUGGGUAUCAAUCAGGAUUAGAUACCCGAGUAGUC